GCAAGGGUGAUUCAGUGGUAGAAUUCUUGCCUUCCAUGAAGGAGACCUGGGUUUGAUUCCUGGCCAAUGCA
rnacentral:tRNA from 1 species